rnacentral:rRNA from 1 species
AAUAAUCGAUUUUAUUAUUGUUUUUUUUUGUUAUUUAUUUUAUUUAAUGGAAAUAAUUUUGUGGAUUUUUGUCUUAGUAUUUUUUGUAGAAUUGAUUAUAUUUAUUAUAGUUUAAUAGUAAUGUAGUUGAAUUAUUAAUUUUUUUAAAAUUUUGUUAAGUAGAUUUUAUUUAUUGUACCUUUUGUAUCAGGGUUUAUCAAAAUUGCUUUUUUUAUUAAUUCUUCUCGAUUUAGGUUGAUUUACAAAUAAAUGAUGGUUAUUGUUUCAUAAAUAUUAUAAAUUUAUUUGUGGUAAUGAAAUGUUAUUUCGUUUCCUAAUGUAUCUAGUUUCUUAAGAAAAAUUUUAAUUUUUUAAGAUUGGUGUUUUGAUUUAAUUUUUUAGUUUAGAAUAUCUAUUUAUCUAUUCUUUAGGGGAUAAGCUCUAGAGUGUAAUAUAUCUAUAAUUUAUUGUAUUUUAUUUUUAUAAUAAUAAGCUUAAGAUCAGCUAUUUUUUGAUUGCGUUUUAGUUCAUUUUUUAUAUAACAUGAUUUUAUAAUUAUUUUAGGUUUUUUAUUAAGAUGAUUAAUUUAAUUUUUAAAUUUUUGUAAUAAUGGUAUAAUUAGUAUAUUUUUUUGUUUGUUAUUAAUUUUUUGUUAUUUUAUUAUAAGGAACUAGGCAAAAUUAAUUUCCGCCUGUUUAUCAAAAACAUGUCUUCUUGAUAAUAUUUUGAAGUCUGGCCUGCUCACUGAUUUUAUUUUUGAAGAGCCGCGGUAUUUUGACCGUGCAAAGGUAGCAUAAUCAUUAGUUUCUUAAUUGGAUGCUGGAAUGAAUGGUUUGACGAGAAAUUAACUGUCUCUUAAUAAAUUAUAAAAUUUAACUUUUAAGUUAAAAGGCUUAAAUAUAUCUUUAGGACGAGAAGACCCUAUAGAGCUUAACAUUAAAAGUUUUUUGUGUUUUAUCUUGUUUAUCUUUCUAUAAUAAAUUUUAAUGUUUGGUUGGGGUGACAUAAAGAAUAAAUAAACUCUUUAUUAUAAAAUCAUUAAUUUAUGUUUAUUUGAUCCAUAAUUUAUGAUCAUAAGAUUAAGUUACCUUAGGGAUAACAGCGUAAUCAUUUUUGAGAGUUCUUAUCAAUAAAAUGGGUUGCGACCUCGAUGUUGGAUUAAGAAUAAUAUUGGGUGUAGUAGCUUAAUAAUUAGGUCUGUUCGACCUUUAAAUUCUUACAUGAUCUGAGUUCAGACCGGUGUAAGCCAGGUCGGUUUUUAUCCUAAGAAUUAUAAUGAUUAUAUUAGUACGAAAGGACCAUAUAAUUGAAAUAAUUUUUAUUAUCUGAUUUAAAUUAAUUGUUU